ACGGCCCUACGGGUUGUAAACUGCUUUUGCAGGGGAAUAAACCCCGGAUGUAUCCGGGGCUGAAUGUACUCUGAGAAUAAAGGAUCGGCUAACCUCCGCGC
rnacentral:rRNA from 1 species